rnacentral:rRNA from 1 species
AACGCGAAGAACCUUACCUGGGUUUGACAUGCACAGGACGCUGGUAGAGAUAUCAGUUCCCUUGUGGUCUGUGUGCAGGUGGUGCAUGGCUGUCGUCAGCUCGUGUCGUGAGAUGUUGGGUUAAGUCCCGCAACGAGCGCAACCCUUGUCUCAUGUUGCCAGCGGGUAAUGCCGGGGACUCGUGAGAGACUGCCGGGGUCAACUCGGAGGAAGGUGGGGAUGACGUCAAGUCAUCAUGCCCCUUAUGUCCAGGGCUUCACACAUGCUACAAUGGCCGGUACAAAGGGCUGCGAUGCCGUGAGGUUAAGCGAAUCCUUUAAAAGCCGGUCUCAGUUCGGAUCGGGGUCUGCAACUCGACCCCGUGAAGUCGGAGUCGCUAGUAAUCGCAGAUCAGCAACGCUGCGGUGAAUACGUUCCCGGGCCUUGUA